rnacentral:rRNA from 1 species
AAGCGGACCUCAUAAAGUAUGUCGUAGUCCGGAUUGGAGUCUGCAACUCGACUCCAUGAAGUCGGAAUCGCUAGUAAUCGUAGAUCAGAAUGCUACGGUGAAUACGUUCCCGGGCCUUGUACACACCGCCCGUCACACCAUGGGAGUGGGUUGCAAAAGAAGUAGGUAGCUUAACCUUCGGGAGGGCGCUUACCACUUUGUGAUUCAUGACUGGGGUGAAGUCGUAACAAGGUAACCGUAGGGGAACCUGCGGUUGGAUCACUCCUUACCUUAAAGAA